rnacentral:rRNA from 1 species
UUGACGGUACCCUACUAGAAAGGAGCCGCUAACUUCGUGCCAGAAGCGUCGGUAAUACGGGGGCUCCAAGCGUUAUCCGGUGUUAUUGGGCGUAAAGAGUCGUGUAGGUGGUUGGGUAAGUUAUCUUUCAAAUAUCUUUGCCUUAACAAAAGAGGAGGGGGAUAAUACUGCUCGACUAGAAUUUUCUCAAGGGAGAUCGGAACUGAGGGAGGAGUAGUGAAAUGCGUUGAUACCCUCGGGAACACCAGUGGCGUAGGCGGAUCUCUGGGAGAAGAUUGACACUGAGACACGAAAGCUAGGGGAGCGAAGCAGAUUAGAGACCUGCGUAGUCCUAGCCGUGAACGCAUGCUUGCUAGCUGCAUGAAUCUACCUUCGGGUGGUAUCGUGUGGCGAAGGUAACCCGUUAAGCAAGCCGCCUGGAAAGUACGGCCGCAAGGCUGAAAUUCAAAGGAAUUGGCGGGGAGGCACACAACCAGUGGAACAUGUGGUUUAAUUCGAGACUAACCGAAGAACCUCACCAGGGUUUGACAUGUAGCUGCACGUCUUAAGAAAUUAAGACUCUCUUGAAGGUGCUACACAGGUGCUGCAUGGCUGUCGUCAGCUCGUUCCGUGAGGAGUGCCCUUAAGUGGGACAACGAGCGCAACCCCUAUUACAUGUUAGAAAUGUCAUGUAAGACUGCCUUGCCAUUUGGCGGGGAGGAAGGAGGGGCAGACGUCAAGUCCGCAUGGUCCUUAUGCCCUGGGCUACACACAUGUUACAAUG